CAGCAGCAGCGUGCUUACCCCAAGAUGAGCAAGCUCAACAGAGGACCCAGACAGACCACCGUCCGCACUUCUGGGCGUCACAUCCGUGUCGAGUGUCCGGGCUGUGUCUCGGCGCUACUGCCGACCCGGGUGUGAGGGGAACACUGUCGGUGCCCUGAAAAUAGCAGGAAUCACACUGCUGCCCUGCAAGCCUGCGGCUCUUAAUCUUCUUAAAAUGCUUCCUCUGAAAGUCACUUGCCAAGCAGCAGCUUCACAAAUACUAUGAGGCCCCCAGGGAACGUUUCCAGGGUCACCACUACCUAAGUGGCAGGGGGUUGAAAAUGAUGGCCGUGUGGUCUGGUCUGAAUGCAGGCAGGGAAGCUUCCUUUGCGCACACGUUCAAAUGUCCACAAUCUCAGAGUUAGCUGGAAGUGCCUUACUUCACAAGGGCCCACAGGCUCUGCUGCCCAUGAUUUAUCAAUUAGCGCGAACGGGACUGAAAUUCCAGAUUUUUAAGACAACCGACUCCUCCCUCCCCGCCACUCCAGAAGCCCCAGCAUUCUGCAGCCGCAAGGAUAUUCCCACCUGGGACCUACAGAGCUCCAGGCCACAGCCGCUGCCUCUCCCCACCUUUAAGUGGAUUCUGCAAAACCUCUUGAGCAUUCAAUAAACUCUUACUGUUUCUUUGAAUACAUAAUUCAGAUCCACUAGAAAACUGAGGAAAAGUAUUCAUUUUUAAAGGCGGCUAGGGUCACUCUUUUGGAUGCCCUGCCAUUUAAUAC
ensembl:lncRNA